rnacentral:rRNA from 1 species
AUGAAGAUGCCGUUGAAAAUCUUGCCAACACCGUCGGAGCCUCACAUGAUGCGGUGCGUGAUGAGGAGAGGGAGGAAGAUUCAUCUUCGGAGGCGGAAGAGUCGUCUUCGGAAGAUGAGGACGAGGACGAAGACGAGGAAGAUGAAGAUUGAUUAUACGUGCCAGUCACCUACGCCGACCCAAAACCGGGCCGCCGGGCGCCUCCCAGCCCUCCACAAAAGAGAAGAGGAACGCCGCCUCCUCCCACGACGUACCCCGGCGGCGCAGCGCAGGCGGGAUGGGGAAGAGCGAGCUGAAGGCAAUGGCGAGCCGGAUGAAGGCAAGGGGCUGCAGAAGCUGCGGUGGUACUGCCAGGUGUGCGAGAAGCAGUGCCGCGACGAGAACGGCUUCGAGUGCCACUGCUCGUCGGAGUCGCACCGGCGGCAGAUGGCCGUCUUCGGCCAGGCCCCCGACCGCGCCAACGAGCGCUUCUCCGGCGAGUUCCUCGAGGCGUUCCUCGCCCUGCUCCGCCACGGCCACCGCGGCUCCCGCGUCGCCGCCACCGUCGUCUACAACGAGCUCGUCGCCGACCGCCGCCACGUGCACAUGAACUCCACGCGCUGGGCCACGCUCUCCGAGUUCGUCCAGUUCCUCGGCCGCCAGGGCCUCGCCAGGGUCGAGCACACGCCCAAGGGCUGGUUCAUCGCCUACGUCGACAGGGGCUCCGAGCAGGCCGCCAAGGCCGGGCUCAAGCGCAAGAGGGUCCAGUCCGAGGAGCUCGUCAUUGCCCGGCAGAUCGAGCGUGCCCAGAAGAAAUCCAUGGCCGAGGCCAAUGGUGAUGACAAUGGCGACCUCGGGAAGAUUGAGGAAGCGUAUUCGGAACAAGUCGAUGCUGAUCAAGAAGAGUUCAACAAGGCAACCGGGAAGGUUGCGAUCGCACUCCGGCGCGCUGCUCCGGCAACGCCUGAGGUUAAGCCAGAGAUGAAAUUUGGCUUGGAUGAAGAGGAGGAGGAGGUGAUCAACAACAAGGGGAAAGACGCAGGGAAAUCAACGGGUACGAGGAGGUCAGCCAUUGAUGAUCUGAUGGAGGAGGAGGCGAAGGCCAAGGAGCGGAGCAACCGGAAGGACCACUGGCUGUGCCCCGGCAUCGUGGUCAAGGUGAUGAGCAAAUCACUAGCCGAGAAGGGGCACCAUUACUACAAGCACAAGGGACUGGUGAAGAGGGUGAUAGACAGGUACGUCGGGGAGAUCGAGAUGCUGGAGAGCAAUCAUGUCGUCAGGGUCGACCAAGAUGAGCUUGAGACCGUCGUCCCGCGGAUCGGCGGGCUUGUGCGGAUCGUCAAUGGCGCCUACCGGGGAUCGAACGCGAGGUUGCUCUCGGUGGACACGGAGAAGUUCUCCGCCAAACUGCGGGUUGAGAAGGGCCUCUAUGAUGGGAGAGUUCUCGAGGCUGUCGAGUACGAGGACAUCUGCAAGAUUGCUGAUUAG